UUAUUAUAAUAUAAUAUUUAAUAUAAUCUGUGACACAACCACAGAUAUAUAAAAUAAUUUAUUUCGUUUAUCAAAGUUCAUGGUUUGUACUGCAGAGUGCAGGCCACGAUUUAAGAUAGUAUCUAAAAUAAGAUACUAUCUUAAAUCGUGAUCGUGAUGCAUACUGCAACUGCUGUUUACUUGUAUUUUAGAUAAAAGAUAGCUAAAAGCACAGAACAAAAGCUUAAAGUGCAAAAUAAAAAUUAAGUUUUCAAUCAUAAUAUAUCAGAUGUAUGAAACGGAUUUUGUACUUCAAAGUUGAAAAGCAUUUCCUGUAGUUUAGUGCCAUAGGAUUUCCCAAAAAAUAAUGCAUAUUGUAUUUAAAUCCGUUCCCUAAUAAUAUUAGCAUAGCCAAAAAUCAAAUUAGUUUAUGAAGUUACUGAUACUAAAAUGUAAAGGAGUGAUCUUUGAAUAGACUAUUGACUACCAUGAACGCAAAUUAUUUUGCCUGGCUUCAAAAAAGAAAAAGUGUGGGAAAUUGGUUGUUGAGAGAAGACUUGAAUAUUAAGUAACAAGUAUAUUUUUAUAUAACUACCCUACAGUCCACCAAAAUUUCUUCACUCACCAACGAUUAUUUUUCCUAAAGAUAUUUAUUACUUAUAGAUAUUAUAAUGGGUAACUUAUUGAAAAAUUAAGUUUAUAAA